UACGGGGGGGGCAAGCGUUGUUCGGAAUUACUGGGCGUAAAGGGUUCGUAGGUGGCCAACUAAGUCAGACGUGAAAUCCCUCGGCUUAACCGGGGAACUGCGUCUGAUACUGGAUGGCUUGAGAUUGGGAGAGGGAUGCGGAAUUCCAGGUGUAGCGGUGAAAUGCGUAGAUAUCUGGAGGAACACCGGUGGCGAAGGCGGCAUCCUGGACCAACACUGACGCUGAGGAGCGAAAGCCAGGGGAGCAAACGGG
rnacentral:rRNA from 1 species